AAUCUAGCAUCACAUGGAACAUUAGAAGCCCAUCAUGAGAAGAAAAGAAACUAGGCCAAUCCCAAUGGCAAGCACGACUAGAAAGCCAAGCGACCAUGAGAACCUAAAAUUUAUGAUUGAAACUGACUCAAAAUGAGUAUGUAAGAUUCAUGAUCAGACUGUAACACUCAAAGGAUCGCCAAUCUUAAUGAUACCGUCCAUGUAAAAUUUAGAAACAAAUCAAUGAAAAAA